rnacentral:rRNA from 1 species
GAUGAACGCUGGCGGCGUGCCUAAUACAUGCAAGUCGAGCGAACAGACGAGGAGCUUGCUCCUCUGACGUUAGCGGCGGACGGGUGAGUAACACGUGGAUAACCUACCUAUAAGACUGGGAUAACUUCGGGAAACCGGAGCUAAUACCGGAUAAUAUAUUGAACCGCAUGGUUCAAUAGUGAAAGACGGUUUUGCUGUCACUUAUAGAUGGAUCCGCGCCGCAUUAGCUAGUUGGUAAGGUAACGGCUUACCAAGGCGACGAUGCGUAGCCGACCUGAGAGGGUGAUCGGCCAAACUGGAACCGAGACACGGGCCAGACUCCUACGGGAGGCAGGAGUAGGGAAUCUUCCGCAAAGGGCGGAAGCUUGACGGAGCAACGCCGCGGUAGUGAUGAAGGUCUUCGGAUCGUAAAACUCUGUUAUUAGGGAAGAACAAAUGUGUAAGUAACUAUGCACGUCUUGACGGUACCUAAUCAGAAAGCCACGGCUAACUACGUG